GGUGGCCACCAUUUCCUGUAUCAGAGGCACAUGGUGAGAACAAUGGAUGAAGCACAUGGUGAGAACAAUGGAUGGCAGCCAUUUUAACUCACAGACACUGUUUGGACUUUUCAACACGGUGCCAUCUCGCCAGUGUUUGGUGCACAUCGUGCAGUGGUUUUGGACUAUACAGCAGGGGACACAUUAUACAGUGAUUGUUUUUAAUUUAGCCUGUAUAUGUUCUGCAGAAUCUGCAUUAAACUGUAUCUUCCAAAGUACUGAAUGGAUCUGGGUGAAUUUCGGAUAUGUGGUUCACCCAGAUCCCCCGGUUCCAAGGAUAUACUUUUUAUGGGGUUAUUGCAUGUUUUGGGGUCCCUGUGAUGUGUUUUAUGAAACUGUAUUUCUCUGUCUGUAAUAAUUAGAUUACCCAUUGUGUAUUACAGGCAGAGGGGAGGAUUUUGUGUGGGAGUGUCUGUGUGUAUUGCACAGAUUGAUUGGUUGUUCUGUAAAACCCUGUGGGCAGUACUAAAUUUGUGGAUUGGGAAUAAAAGAGGCUGUAUGUGCCAGUCCAGUGAGUUCCUGUUUUAACCCUCAAAGUGAAGUGUUGUCUCAUUAUUGGGGGAAGGAUUUAUUGUAUGCUGUUCCAGUUUGACUGCUAGGAGAGUAAACCUAUUCGUAUGGUUCCUAUUCAACUGUCUACAGCAUUCAUAUGCUUGAGAGAAGGUAUACGCUUCUCUGGUUCGGUGAUUGUGGUGUCUGCCAGAGUGCUUGGAGUCCUCAGGAAACGCUAGGAGCAUCCUUUAACGGAGGUACCCAAUCGGGGUGCCAGGUGAUCCGUUUCACUAAGGGAAUCAUCUUUUGAAGCUAUUGGGAUUACUAUAUGGUUCGUCUACUCUAUCUACCGAACGGAGGGCUAUAAUCACUAAGGCUCUGGCGGUUCGGGAGGAAACUACCGAAUGAAGUUUAAAUAUACUUGGUUUCCUUACACAGUAAAACACAAAUACUACAAUAUACAAAUCGUGCCAUACUAAUAGUGCAACACAAAUACUACAAUAUAAAAAUCAUGCAACACAAAUACUACAAUAUAAAAAUAGUGCCAGACUAAUAGUGCUACACAAAUACUACAAUAUAUAAAUAGUGCAACACAAAUACUACCAUAUAAAAAUAGAGCCAAACUAAUAGUGCAACACAAAUACUACAAUAUAAAAAUAGUGCCAUACUAAUAGUGUGUUACGGGCGCUCUACAGAACGUUACGGGAUUACCCGGUUUAUUUUACCGUAUACUCUGUUUCGGUAGUUAUAAUGUAUAAGACACAUUACACUAGUAGUCAGGACUAUGUAUUCGCGUAUACGAACAAAAGACCACCAGGCCCUUGGCGUGUGCCGCCACUUAACCUUUUUCACCUUUAAAACAACCGAACGACCGACCACCCUACAAGCGGAGGGUGCUUCCAAUUGACCACCGGGAAGCUGCGGUCUGCGGUUAACCACAAGCCUGAUUGACUGCCUCGUUCGGAUAAUAAUUAACCGAACUGAAACUCCUGAAAGACUUCCGAACGAGGACCACCUACACCCGGGUGUGUAGCCCCAAUUAGAACGUUGGGUCUGUGGUUGACCGCAAGUUAAGUACCCCCUUCAUGGCGGUCUCUGUUCGGCUCACAAAGGGCUGGGACAACCAUCCUCUGAGCGGUAUUCGCACAAUUGUUCAUCCGCUACUCGCUCCAGGGGUUUUAGGGCCAGGUCCCGCUCUCUAUUCACCAGCCUGAAAACAUGGCCACUGUGGCGAAACCUCCCUCGCCACUGAGCAUUGGAGAAGACUUAUUGCCUGUAUCAGAGGCACAUGGUAAGAACAAUGGAUGGCGGCCAUUUUAACUCACAGACACUGUUUGGACUUUUCAACAAGGUGCCAUCUCACCGGUAUUUGGUGCACAGAGACAUCGUGCAGUGGUUUUGGACUAUACAACAGGGGACACAUUAUAAAGUAAUUGUUUUUCAUUUAGCCUGCGUAUGUUCUGUGGAAUCUGCAUUAAACUGUAUCUUCCAAAGUACUGAACGGAUCUGGGUGAAUUUUGGAUAUGUGGUUCACCCAGAUCCCCUGGUUCCAAGUAUGGGGUUAUUGCAUGUUUUGGAGUCCCCGUGAUGUGUUUUAUGAUACUGUAUUUCUCUGCCUGUGAUAAUUAGAUUAACCAUUGUGUUCAGUAAUCAUAUCACAGGCAGAAGGGAGGAUUUUGUGUGGGAGUGUCUGUGUGUAUUGUACGGAUUGAUUGGUUGUUCUGUAAAACCCUGUAGGCAGUACUAAGUUUGUGGAUUGGGAAUAAAAGAGGCUGUAUGUGCCAGUCCAGUCAGUUCUGCUUGACCUCAAAACGAAGUGUUGUCUCGUUAUUGGGGGAAUUGGAUUGUAUGCUGAUUGCCAGGAGUGUAAACUGAUUGUAUGCUUUUCCUGUUCAGCUGCUUACAGCAUUCAUAUGCUUGAGAGCAUUCGUAUGCUUCUCCGGUUUGGUGGUUGUGGUGUCUGCUGCAGUGCUUGGAGUCCUCAGGAAGCGCUAGGAGCAUCCUUCAACAGAGGUACCCAGUCGGGGUGCCAGGUGAUCCGUUACAGCCGCCAUCUCGUGUUCGGGACAAAAAGGCACAAAAGGACUUUGUAUUGAAGGGACUGUCUAUACCGUUCGUGAGAUCUGAGCGCUAUUCGCCUAUCUGCUGCGCUCAGAUCUGGGC